rnacentral:rRNA from 1 species
AUUGAACGCUGGCGGCAUGCCUUACACAUGCAAGUCGAACGGCAGCACGGGGGCAACCCUGGUGGCGAGUGGCGAACGGGUGAGUAAUACAUCGGAACGUGCCUAGUAGUGGGGGAUAGCCCGGCGAAAGCCGGAUUAAUACCGCAUACGACCUACGGGUGAAAGCGGGGGAUCGCAAGACCUCGCGCUAUUGGAGCGGCCGAUGUCAGAUUAGGUUGUUGGUGAGGUAAAAGCUCACCAAGCCGACGAUCUGUAGCUGGUCUGAGAGGACGACCAGCCACACUGGGACUGAGACACGGCCCAGACUCCUACGGGAGGCAGCAGUGGGGAAUUUUGGACAAUGGGGGCAACCCUGAUCCAGCCAUGCCGCGUGCGGGAAGAAGGCCUUCGGGUUGGAAACCGCUUUUGUCAGGGAAGAAAUCUCUUGGGCCAAUACCCCAGAAGGAUGACGGUACCUGAAGAAUAAGCACCGGCUAACUACGUGCCAGCAGCCGCGGUAAUACGUAGGGUGCAAGCGUUAAUCGGAAUUACUGGGCGUAAAGCGUGCGCAGGCGGUCUUGCAAGACAGGUGUGAAAUCCCCGGGCUUAACCUGGGAACUGCACUUGUGACUGCAAGGCUGGAGUACGGCAGAGGGGGAUGGAAUUCCGCGUGUAGCAGUGAAAUGCGUAGAUAUGCGGAGGAACACCGAUGGCGAAGGCAGUCCCCUGGGCCUGUACUGACGCUCAUGCACGAAAGCGUGGGGAGCAAACAGGAUUAGAUACCCUGGUAG